rnacentral:rRNA from 1 species
ACUGCUCAGUAACACGUGGACAACCUGCCCUUAGGUUGGGUAUAAACCCGGGAAACUGGGUAUAAUACCCGAUAGGUCUCGAUUGCUGGAAUGCAUCGAGAUUUAAAGCUCCGGCGCCUAAGGAUGGGUCUGCGGCCUAUCAGGUAGUAGUGGGUGUAGCGUACCUACUAGCCCACGGCGGGUACGGGUUGUGAGAGCAAGAGCCCGGAGAUGGAUUCUGAGACACGAAUCCAGGCCCUACGGGGUGCAGCAGGCGCGAAAACUUUACAAUGCUGGCAACAGCGAUAAGGGAACCUCGAGUGCCAGGUUACAAAUCUGGCUGUCGAGAUGCCUAAAAAGCAUUUCAUAGCAAGGGCCGGGCAAGACCGGUGCCAGCCGCCGCGGUAACACCGGCGGCUCGAGUGGUAACCGUUAUUAUUGGGUCUAAAGGGUCUGUAGCCGGCCGGAUAAGUCUCUUGAGAAAUCUGGCAGCUUAACUGUCAGGCUUUCAGGAGAUACUGUCUGGCUCGAGGCCGGGAGAGGUGAGAGGUACUUCAGGGGUAGGGGUGAAAUCUUGUAAUCCUUGAAGGACCACCAGUGGCGAAGGCGUCUCACCAGAACGGACCUGACGGCAAGGGACGAAAGCUAGGGGCACGAACCGGAUUAGAUACCCGGGUAGUCCUAGCCGUAAACGAUACUCGCUAGGUGUCGGCCACGGUGCGACCGUUGUCGGUGCCGUAGGGAAGCCGUGAAGCGAGCCACCUGGGAAGUACGGCCGCAAGGCUGAAACUUAAAGGAAUUGGCGGGGGAGCAC